rnacentral:rRNA from 1 species
AGAGGGUGCAAGCGUUGUUCGGAAUUAUUGGGCGUAAAGCGCGUGUAGGCGGCUUUGCAAGUCGGGUGUGAAAGCCCUCAGCUUAACUGAGGAAGUGCGCCCGAAACUGCAUAGCUUGAGUACCGGAGAGGAUGGUGGAAUUCCCCAAGUAGAGGUGAAAUUCGUAGAUAUGGGGAGGAACACCGGUGGCGAAGGCGACCAUCUGGACGGAUACUGACGCUGAGACGCGAAAGCGUGGGUAGCAAACAGGAUUAGAUACCCUGGUAGUCCACGCCGUAAACGAUGAGAACUAGGUGUUGCGGGUGUUGACCCCCGCGGUGCCGUAGCUAACGCAUUAAGUUCUCCGCCUGGGAAGUACGGCCGCAAGGCUA